CACGGGUUACAACGCUAAUAAUCAAUCGAAUUAGUUUUAAUCUACGAUGGUCCUUUUUUUCCCGUAACGAAUCUUGAAAUAAUGUUACAGUAAAAGAUAUAAUUGACAUAAAGCUUGUUCGAUACGUGCAUAUAUUUGGUGAUUUAAAGGCAAAUAGAAAAAAACAGUAAAACACGUGUUCAUCAUAAAUUUACAUCUAGUACUUUCUUGCAAAGUUAUAGGAUUGCAUCCUGUAACAUGGACAUAAAAAGCUCGGAACAAAGAAGAGGAUGAAUUCAACUAGCAUUACGAAGGAAUAAAUUUUAUUAAAAAUUGAAAGUCGCUAUCAAAGUAUUAAAAUAAAAAGAUAAGUAAAAAAUAUAUUUAUGCACAUUACUUUAUAUUAUUAAUAGUAAUUAAACGAAUCUUCUAAUAUAAACUCGAACAGAAAUAUUAUGAGAUAACCCUUAACAUUUAAUCAUCCCCUGAAAAUCUUUUAUUUCCCUUGCACUAUUCACAGCUAAAGGUUAUCCUGAUUCCUUUCUAUUUCUAGACCAAUGUACCAUGAAGCUACAGAGAUGGUUUAAUCAUAAUUAUUAACAAAAAAAACUAUGAGAGACUAAGGAAGCUGUAUAACCAUUAGUGUUAAUCAAUUUCCACGAGGAUUUAUUGCCCCUUUACGAAGAACUUUUUAAGCUCAUUUACUUUUUCUCUUAUUUAGGAGAAACUUCUGUAUCGUUUCAUCACUCUAUAUUAAUGAUGGACACAAACUUUUAAAUUUAUGAUAUGACUAAAACGUGAAUAAACGCUAUUGUAUCAAAGAACAGUGCGAAAAAUCUCAUCAAAGAAGAAACAAAAGGAAAUAACUGUAAAAGAUAGAUUAAGGUCAAGUAAGGUGAAGUUCAGCGGUAAGAAUGAAAAGGAGGUGCAGGUGGAGACGGAUCAAAGUAAUUUUAAACAACCGUGCGACUGGUUUCUCGAGAUUUCACGCUGGUUCCUGACAGGUAAUGCCCUCGGGACGCACAUGGAAAAAAACCAAAUGGAAACCUAAUGUAUCGCCUCAGACGGACCUGUCAUUGAAACUGAUCAUUCCACGCGGGAGGUACGGGUCCUUGCGUCUUAUUCAUGACCGACUACUUCUGGCCAAUCAUCUCGCAUUCUGAAUGGGCCACCUGCAGUUACAGAGAGAAGGGAUGCAUGAUAAACUCGAACCGUUUGACCAGGUUGUUACCUAAUCCUUUUUAUUGGGCACCGAUCGAAUCACGUCGAUCGUAUCUGACCUUCUCGAUCACGGAUUCAUUUCGUCGUUUUCUGGAUGACGAAGAUAAAGAUAGAUUAGUUCAGAACUUCUUUCUUCGAACAGAUAAUGGACAAUGCGACGUUUCAUCGUGCACGGAUUUUCGUAUAAAAAGAUAAGAAGCGCAGAAGAGGAAAGUCACAUGAAUCAAUGUAUGUAGAAAGAUAAGGAUUGUUCAAGGACAGUGGAGUUUAAAGAGACAAAUGGUAAACUCCACGUCUCAAUUUUUAUGAAUUCGAAAACAUGCAUUCGGAAAAUUAUGUUUUACAUUCGAUAGGUUCCAUGACAAAGAGAAAACAUGAAAAAAGAAAAUGAUGAAAAAGGGAAGAACGAACGCGGUUGUUCAAAGACACAUCGAUAUUCCCUAUGCUCUCCAUCUUGUCGUCACGAUAUAAAAUACCGGCUAAAAAAGGAGCGCUGAAUGGCCGAUACCCGACUAAAAACCGGACUUGCUCUCGUUACACGAAGCCAAAGAAACGAAGCAGUUGGCUGCAGCACGGUGCAGGUGGGUUGCCAGAUGGCCAGAACGGAAACAGUGAAUGAAGGAACGAAAAGAAACGAAAGGAACACCGUUCAUCACGAAUACGCGACAAGACAAACGCGACCGCACGAACCGAAUACCAAUUUCGAGUUCCUGUCGCGCGAUUCUGGACAUUUAUUCUCAUUUUGUUCAACACAUUGUAAAAUUCCACAUAAUUAUAAAGAACAGAAAAAAAUUAUUGAUUUGAAUGAGAUAGUCAUAUGGAAUUGAGAUUUAU